CGUACGCGUUAAGCGUUCGCUGGCAGAGUGCGGAACGCACGCAAUCGGCUUUACCGAACCGCACGAUGCCAAUCAUCUCAUCUUCCUCAAAACGCGCCAGCGCGUCGCUCAGGCCGGACUGCACGCCCGCCGGCAAAUCGCACUGGGUGAUGUCGCCAUUGACUAUCACGGUCACGUUCUCCCCGAGGCGGGUU
rfam:Cronobacter sakazakii ATCC BAA-894, complete genome.